rnacentral:lncRNA from 1 species
AACAACGAAGUAAAAGUGCAACCCACAGAUAAUCUCUUUAUCUCAACUGCUUAUCCGAAUCCUUAGACCAGCUUUAUUUUAUUGUGACAUAAACUCGGCUAUGUCCACGUCUCUCCAGCUUAAUAUACUAUGUCAAAUAGUUGAGUAAGUACAUAACAUGAUAGAUUAGAAGCGGCAUUAGAAUGAAAAAGCACAACUUAAAGCACUAAAUAUUAAAAAGACAUUCUAAUUGCUUAAACAGUAAUACCUCAAUUGAUCAUUUUUUUUUUCUUAUGAUUGAAUCAUUACAUUAACAUUGUAGAUUUGAUCAAUUGGAAAACCAAUACAUCCCCAUCAGCCGACUAAUGAUUGAUGUAUAGAGAAGCCUUUCCAUCUUCUACUCAAGCCUCUCUUAUUGGCAAGGUAAACCGUAUCAACUUUUUCAUACUCAAUUAAAGUGAUAUUGGAGUCACAUUUUCUUAGGUAUUUGUCUAUAAAUUGAGAGGGAUGACUCGGUUGAAAAGAUAUAACUAUAUUUGAUUAGAUACAAUAAUAUUACAAACACAUUAAAAAUUUUUAGAAAAGAAUUACAACUCAAAAGGAAAACAACAAAAGAAAUCAAAGAAAGAGAAAGAACUACAGAAAAAAAAAUUUGUUACAUAAAUAUUAUGAAGAAUUACUUAAGAGUACUGCGAAAGAAGGAUAGCAAAUAAUAAAGGGUACACCGGAGAGGCUCAAAUUCACAUUUAACUAACCGAAUACAAAGAUUCUUUGGUCUUAUUCUCUUACCUGAUCUAAAUCAAAUUUCUCUUAAAAAUCAAUAAUGAAGUGACUUUCGCUUUGCAAUGAAUAGAUACUUCUAAAGUAAAUUUUAAAAAUAAUAAACUAUCAGUAAAGAUAAAAAAUAAAAUAUAUUCAUCUUUAUUAAAUAAUCUUAAAUAUACACAUCGAGUCCAGAAUAACAAAAAAUAUAAAACUCAUCUAAACUAACAAAAAAAAUCAUAGGAAAAACUCUAAAUUAGGCAAAAUGUGAAUUUUGCAUUGCUUUGCAUUUGUAGGACACAAAAUUUGGAACUAUUAUCUUUUGACUUGAAGUUAAUGCCAGAGCCAAAAAAAGAAAAGAACAAAAUAAAAUUACUAUGAAAUUAAAUUUUAAAAAGUAAUAAAUAGAGGCCAAAUAUGGCCGACUCAAUGUACAUCUUGAUUGGGCAAAACCUAACACAGACUAUUUGAUUUGACAUAAAUGAAGAAUAAUAUGUGGCUAGUCAAGGAUCAUAAUGCAGUCUCAAACGAUAAUUUUAUAAAUACUCCUUAAAAUAUAAAAUAUCAUCAGGGUUUAGAAUUUAAGUUAAUAGUUUAGAGUUCAGAAGAGUAUUUGUGACAUAUUCAUACAUUUAGAGGGAUAUUCAUAAUAAGUUUAUGUGUUUAAAGGAGUAAUGAUGAUUUUUCAAAUUUUAAAAGAACAUCUAUGAUACUUUUGAAUUUAUAGGGUUAUGUUUGAAAUUGCCUCUAACAUUUUAGUUCCCCAACUUUUUUCACGUAUCAUUAUUCCAUUCCUAAAUUUUCAUGUGCCGCAAUUUCAUUCCUAAAUGCUAACCAAAAAAUAUUUUAACGUCUUAAUGCAAAAUAACAAUUUAAAUCCUAAUUCAUAUGCAAAGAAUAAAACUUCACUUUACAAAAAUAAAGAAAGAUAAGAUUAUAAUCUUACUAAAAAAACUAAAUUUAGUUUUUGUUUUCUGGACGUCCAGGACUGGGAUGUACAAUAUGAGGUUUUUCUUUAGGGGGGAGGGGAAGAAAAUAUAAGACUAUUCAAAUACAAAAUACUGUAUAUUAAAAGUUCUAAAUAACUUCAAUGGAAAAAAACUAAUACCAAAAUAACAUCUAAUAUUUUUUAUUGCGAGCGCCACAUUCAUUAUUAAUUAUGUUUUGACUCACAAUAAAAAUUAAAUUAUUUCACAUAUGUUAAAUAAUAGUUACAGAAUUAAUUAGUUAAUUACCAUGUGGCAAGAUAAGGAUCAUGUCGUCUUGCCGCUGGCUGGAGGAGAUGAGAUCGACUGUGCCAUUGAUGGUCCAGCAAGGGAGCUUGACUGUGCUGUUGAUGGUUUAGCCGGGGAUCGACGUGAUAAUAUCGCCAACGAUAGCACUCGUGAAUCCGCUUGCCAGAGCCGUCUCGAAGUCCCUAUUUGUUAGCAGUCCUAAAGUAAAACAAGGGUUUAGCUAAUUAAAUAAAUUAGCAUUUAUGCCAUAAAAAUCUUAUUACUCCUUUCUUUUGCUUAAUGAGAGAUCUUACUGUUAAGCAAUAGAUCCCUCAAACUAAUCAUCACUUGGACAUAAUAGGCUUAGUUAGAUUCUUCAUAGAAGCUUAGAUAAUAAAUUUGGAUAAUUUUAAAUUUUUAUGCAGAUAUUUCAUCAAAAAUACAUAGCAAAAUUCUCGAUUAAAGCAAAUCGAGAUCGAGAUCGAGAUCGAGAUCGAGAUCAAGAGAGGGGAAAGGGAGACGAUGUACUCACCAGAUCCUCAUCCUCUUCUUCUGAUGCUUGAGCGGGGGCUGCUUCUAGGGGGGCUUGCUUCAGUCCAUUAGAGCCGCUAGGGUUUCUAUCGGCGGAUAUCAUAGUGGCGGCGAAGUUCUCUGGCGAAAGGUGAAAGUACAGGAAAGAAAGGAGGUAUCGGGCACGCGCUCACACUCUCUCAGAUUAUAUUAGGGUUAUUAGAAGGAAAUCGAAGAGGCGGGGAAGGAAUCGAAGAGGCAAGGGAGGGAUCGAAGCGGCAGUGUCGCACGCGCGCACUCUCCUCUCUCUCUGGUUAGUAGUGUUAUUAGGAGAAGAUCAAAGAGAUGCAUGGGAAAGGGAUCGAAGAGGCGGGGGAGAGACGGUCGCUUAGGAGGAGAUCAAAGAGAUGCAUGGGAAAGGGAUCGAAGAGGCGGGCGAGAGACGGAAGCGACCGAAAAAUAAGGAGAUGAAGA